rnacentral:tRNA from 1 species
GAGGGUGUAGCUCAGUGGUAGAGCACAUGCUUAGCAUGCAUGACAUCCUGGGUUCAAUCCCUAGUACCUCCA